GACGAACGCUGGCGGCGUGCCUAACACAUGCAAGUCGAACGGGGUAAUUUCUUCGGAGAUUACUUAGUGGCGAACGGGUGAGUAACGCGUGAGAAACCUGCCUUUCAGUGGGGGACAACAGUUGGAAACGACUGCUAAUACCGCAUAAUGUUAUUUGGGGGCAUCCCUGAAUAACCAAAGCUUUAUGUGCUGAAAGAUGGUCUCGCGUCUGAUUAGCUAGAUGGCGGGGUAACGGCCCACCAUGGCGACGAUCAGUAGCCGGUCUGAGAGGAUGGACGGCCACAUUGGGACUGAGGUACGGCCCAGACUCCUACGGGAGGCAGCAGUGGGGAAUAUUGGGCAAUGGGGGAAACCCUGACCCAGCAACGCCGCGUGAAGGAAGAAGGCCUUCGGGUUGUAAACUUCUUUUACCAGGGACGAAGAACGUGACGGUACCUGGAGAAAAAGCAACGGCUAACUACGUGCCAGCCGCCGCCGUAACAC
rnacentral:rRNA from 1 species